GUUGGUUGAAAAUCACCCGCGGCCUUGGCCGUGACUGUGGGUGAGAUUCGGCGCCCAGAGCCACCUGGGGCCUCAGCUCACUGUCCACACGAUGUGGGGAGGUGAAACCCAGGCCCGACACGC
rnacentral:snoRNA from 12 species